CAGUAAAUAGUUUAAAUUAAAAUUUUAAUUUUGGAGAUUAAUAAUGAACUUAGUUCUUUACUGA
rnacentral:tRNA from 1 species